UUAAUGAUCACCCAAGCUAGGGGAUCAUAAGUUUGACGCUUGACGAGCUAGGUGAAAGCUUGGGAAGGAAGCGAGUCAAACGAAUCAGGAAUGAAGGAAAAGCAUAAUCUGGAUGCUAGGAAUAUAUAUCGAAUGGAUAUUUGCAUCGUUAUUACUUAGCGGUUAUUAAGCAA